GGCCGCGCGCAGAGACCGCCCCCAGCCGUGCGCCGCCGCCGCCCGCCUCAGCCCAACAUGGCGAUGCACAACAAGGCGGCGCCUCCGCAGAUCCCGGACACCCGGCGGGAGCUGGCGGAGCUCGUGAAGCGGAAGCAGGAGCUAGCGGAAACAUUGGCAAACUUGGAGAGACAGAUCUAUGCUUUUGAAGGGAGCUACCUGGAAGACACUCAGAUGUAUGGCAAUAUUAUUCGCGGCUGGGAUCGAUAUCUGACCAACCAAAAAAACUCCAAUAGCAAAAAUGACCGAAGAAACCGGAAGUUUAAGGAAGCUGAGCGGCUCUUCAGUAAAUCCUCAGUUACUUCAGCAGCUGCAGUAAGUGCUUUGGCAGGAGUUCAGGACCAGCUCAUUGAAAAGAGGGAACCAGGAAGUGGGACUGAAAGUGAUACUUCUCCAGACUUCCACAAUCAGGAAAAUGAGCCCAGCCAGGAGGACCCUGAGGAUCUGGAUGGAGCUGUGCAGGGAGUGAAACCUCAGAAAGCUGCUUCUUCCACUUCCUCAGGGAGUCAUCACAGCAGCCAUAAAAAAAGAAAGAAUAAAAACCGACACAGGUAUGUAUAUUAGGUUAGGCUGGGAAGUUUUUUUUAAAAACAGAAAAACGUGAUGGAGGAUUGAUCUGAAGUUAAACAAAAAACCACGAGCUGACUAUUAGAAGACUCAUUAGCACAGAAGCUUCCAGGCUGUAGAGCCCUGCUUCCCUUGUCCGACCUCACAAAGAUAAACAUCCCUCUCCUGAGUGCGUGGCUGUCCACAUCUGCUUUCCCAGACCCAGUGCCUGUGACUCUAAGUAGUUGGUUCUGAAAUGUGAUGACAAAAAUCAUUUGUUAGACCACAUCAGAUCAUUUACUUUGUGUCAUUUUUAGUAACAGAACUGCAGGAAGACCAAGACAUGGUUAUAAUCCCAGCAAGUUGCUAACUGGGCAUUUCUCCCUUGUUGGAAUGGAUGCCUCCCUGCAAACCUGUUGGCAUCAGCUUCAUCUGUGAUACCUGUCAAGAAAUGGUCUCUGGUUUUGUUUUAUGCCGAAAGUAGAAUCACAAGUCGCAUUGCAUUACCGAUGAAGGCUGUAAAUAUCUGGUAUUUUCUUAUUUUGCUUUGUGUUUUAUUAUUUUUCUAUUGUUUUUAUCAUCUUAUUUUCUUUGGGGACUUUUUGUAAUGCAGUUGUACAGCUCAUACCUUCCUGCUGACAUAUCUGAGAAUCUUAUUUUGUGCAGUUGCCAGUGUUCUCAACUGAAGAUACUCUGGGUUACCAGAAAUAAAAUGGGGAACUUGCUAUUUUGUGUUUUUGCAUGGGAAUGGCAAAGAGUGUUUAUUUAAUAAUUACCUAUCUUAAAUCUUUUCUGGUUUGGAAGCAGUUUCGUGUUCAAGGAACAGGAAUAGCUGAAAAACAUGAGUUUGAAUCAGCUCUUUUAAAGUAGAUAUUUUUAUUCUUUGUAUAAAUAAAAUUUCACAGGCUUUGACUUCUCAUGCUUUACUUUUAAACUUGAGAUUAUUUUUCCAUCUAUUUUAUUUAUUCAUAUCAUGCCUUAUGGAAAUUUCUUUUUCUAUCAUUUCUUUCAUUGCUGGUUUUUACCUGAUUAGAUACUGCUCUAAAAAUCACUAAGACAUAUAGAAAAGCUCAAAACUGAACCAAAAACUGUUAUGUCCAGAGCUGCUGAGCAGCAUGAAAGAUAGCAUCAGCAAGAGCCCGUGAUGCCUGACUGAUCUCCCUCCCUUCCUGGGGUCGACGGGCCGAGGAACCUGCUGAUACUUGUUCCAUACCUCUAGAGCAGUGGUGAUGCCCUUCGGCUGCAUGUUAGAAUCACCCGGGAAGCUUAAAAUACUGAUGCCUGGGUCCCAUUCCCAGUGACUGUGACUGGGGCACAGUCUAGGCACUGGGAUUUCCUUUUAAAGUUUUCCCUGGAUUCUGGUAAGAGGCCGAGUUGAGAACCAAUAUAUUAGGUGGCUGGAUGAUUUGACCUAAAUCCUAUGUUGUGAAUUAGUCUAAGGGAUAAGAUUUUACUUUAUUUAAUAAUAGCCCAUAUCCUAGUCAGAAAAAAAUAUGUUCCAUUUGUGAUAAUAUUGGUAGAGCCAAAUAUGGAUGGCAGUCUAUUAUCAAAACAAGUCUACCUUGUCAGAUGUGCAAAAACUUCCAUUCUUGUUCUUAAGCUUAUUUUUAUUUUUUGACUCUCUGGCUAUUUAGAUGUGUUUGGCUAUGUCUCUGGUAGCAGAACUCCAAUGUCAGAGUUUUUGAAGAAAUAGUUUCUUAUAUUUAGAUUGUUCUUAAAAAAAAAAAAAGCAAUGGAAACUAGAAAUAUUCUGUAUCCUUCUUUGUUAGUUUGUCUCUUUUUUGGGAGAGAGAUGGGGUAUGUGCAGUGUCUGAAAUUCUUAGGAAUGCACAGAGCAAACCAUGAAAUAUUUCUGACUCUCAUAGUUUGCAUUUGAAAGAGAUGUGGUAGUAGUAUUCUUAAAAAAGAUGUAUCAUUUAUUGAUGAGUGUACUUGUAUAUUUAUACAACACUGUGGAUAGAGAUAAUCAUGGUUAGAGACAGGCUGCUUGCUUGAUGCUUAGUCUCUCUAUAAAGUUGAAUCAUUGAUUAGGGGACUCUUGAUUUUUUUUAAGUUGGCCAGGUAUACUAGAGUUGGUCAAGUCCUGAGGUAUUGCUUUAGAAAAAGGCAACAAGGGACCCCUGCCUACCAUGCUUUUGAUAUUUGUAACUUCUUUGAUUGUAAACUACAUUUGCUUGACUGUAAAAGAGGAUGAGGUAAUGACUUUGAUCAAGAUAUCACCAGUCCAGAGGACCCGUGUUUGCAUGGAGGGAGACAUUAAUUUAGGCGGCAGUUCCCUUGCAGCACCCAUCUGUAGCGUGUGGUAGGGAUAGUUUGCUUGGUGGCCUGCAUCCUUCCAUCCUCGCAGCCCAUUAGUGCUCACUGAACUGGAAUGUCUGCCAAGACCAGAGAAGGUGCUUCCUUCUGGGCAUGAUGCUGUCACUGGUUUGGUUUGGUUCAGUUUGGUACAGUAGUUUGCUUCAGAUCUUAGGGAAAGAAAAAUUGAUUUAAACAACUAGAGCCGAAUCCCAAGAAGCUGAUUCCCAUGGUAUGUCUUCCCUCCUCCCUUUUCCUGUAAUCCAGAGGGACAGAGGAGGAAAUGGGAGGACUGAGGGGUGACAUACCUGUUUUCUUCUGCCUUCUGGGUAAAUUUGUUUUUCUGUACAUUAGCCUUCUCAUCUCUAAGAAGUCUUGGCAGACUUCUGCUCCCUUUGGUAGUUGUAAGACAUAAAAAAAAAAAAAAAAAAAAAAAAAAAAA